AAAAUUAAUCUAGAUUAAUCACAUGAUUUCAUGAGUUAACUGCGAUUAAUCGCAAAUUAAUCGCACAUUUUUAUCCAUUCUAAAUUUACCCUAAUUUAACACUUUUCAGGUUUUUAAUAUUCUAAUCAUAUAUACAUAUAUAGAUGCUUUAUGCAAAUGUAUGUUAACAACAGCCUGUUUACAUUUUAACAGAAUCACCAGCCAUUGUUUUGUAUAAGAAUUUUCCUUUCAGAAGAUUUUUCUUUCUCCAUUUUUGUUUGCUGCUGCAUCAUUUGUGACAUGUGCAGGCAAGUUGAGUCGGAAUUAGCAAAUUUUUAAAAAAUAGUUGUUCAUAUUUUGACAUUCUCUAUUAAAACAUAGAACAAUGCAUGAUUUGUUGAAAUAUAACAAAAUAUGACAGAACUACACGUGUUUGAAGUUGAAAGAGUCAAAUUACCACAAAAAUUUCCACAUCCAUACAUUAUAUUACCACAUCAAUACCUUAAAAUCACUGGUAAAACUAUUAGAUUUAGCACACACAAAGCAAAAACAUCAUCAAUGUAUGUUCAACUUUUUUUCCUUUUGUUUGAUUGACAUUGAGACAGACUGCUUAAAAUCUAAGUGAUCUAAUAUAAUGUUACACAUCAGAUAGUUUUACCCAACAGUUAACCAAACAUUUACUUAAGACAUAACAGAUUAUAGAGCCUACCUGCGUGAAUUCUUAUCAAAACAGAUAUUUGUAAAACUGUAAUUUUGUGUAGAUGUCUAUAUAUCCGGGUCGCGCACUCGCGCGUCUGUGUGCACGCGCUUCAGAUAUCAGUCAGUCAGCGUGAGGGGAUCGCUUUUGAGUCUUGUCGCUCUUAAUAACUCUUUAACAUUAAUCAGGUACCGAACUUUAUCUCUCUUAAUGACUCUUUUAACAUCAAGCAAGUCCUGCAGUCUAUUUUCUAAGUCAUGCAUAAAAGCGAAACCAAAAUGAAUUGAGACGCAUUUUUGUAUUAGAUUAAGCAUUAGGAGGACGGUAACGUUACACCUCUCAGACGUAUAAAUAAAGAUCAUUUCAGAUGUCCAACGAGCAUUUAGAGCAUUGGAUUUGGUAGACGAUUUGCUUAAUGUUCUUAUUUCUAUGAAAACAUUUUACUCAUUUAGAGAGAGUCACAUUUGUCUGCGUCUCUGUUCAUUCAACUAUGGGCUGGACCAAGGGUCAAACAGAAAUUGCGCGUUGCGUUAAUCUCCGUUAAAAAAAUUAGUGGCGUUAAAAUGAAUUUGCGUUAACGCGUUAUUAACGCGUUAAUUUUGACAGCCCUAAUUUCAGCACAAUGUUAUGUGUUUAGUGUCUGUGUAAAUCUAAAUGUCUGUGUGUGGGUGAGGUCAAAGGUCAAGACAACAAACAGUCUGGACAUACUAUCCAUUAGAUACAUGUCGUUUGUGGGAUUGUUUUAUGUGGGUGCUAGUAGUCUACUUUUUCCAGUUGUAGGAUUAACAAAUUUUAGCUGGAGAUUUAUGCUGGUCCACUGUAUUUGUUAUCUGACAAGAGAACAAGAGCAUUACGUCAUUGGCCAGAUCCCAAAACAAUCUCUUGGCAGAAGCAGGGCCGAUAGAAGAGGCAAGUAAGAUGUUUUUCAAUAGGCUGUUGUUGCAGUCAGCGCUGUAUCCUGUAGUUGCUGUGUUUUUUCCAGACUUUCUUUGAAAGGAUUUGGGAGGAGAGGUGGGGUUAAAGGUCAUCACACACUAAGAAUAUCAGGAUUCAAAGGUGCCUUAGUUUCUCAUUAAAUAUGGAAGUGAAUACAACUCCCAUUGGUCUGAGAGUCCCUUGACCUGAUCGCUAAAUAUUGUACCCUAAAUUUGUGUGCAAAUUUGCUCUUUUUAACACAUGCCUAAAUACAGAAUUAUUUCAGUGUUACUUGGUUUAUUCAGGUUUGUAUUUAAUAUUUAGAUUUUACCCUUGAUGGUAAUACCAUUGCCUGCUGCUGCUAUAUAUAGGGUUCUAUCACCCCUUGUGACAAAGCAUGCAGUUUAUGUAUAUUAAGAUGUAGGUAAAUAUUUCUGCAUUGCAAAUAAAUAAUAAAUAGAGCAUAAUUUAAAAGGCUAAUUUAUGACCCUACUAGUCAAUUUUAUAAGCAAUUGUAGAUUCUUUUUAAGGUUCUUAUUUUCUUUGCUUAGAUUUGUAUUCUUUUUGAAUGUAUUAUUUAAAGUUCUGUCCAAAUUUAUUUUUGCAUACGAGAUUUAAGUAUCAUUUUCACUUGAUUCAACUGAUUUCUUCUGUUUACCAGAAUACAUCAAAUAUUAAAUGCAGCUUAUCAGAAUCUGUAUUUCAAAUCCUAAUGCCAAUACUCUUAUACUGGUUUACAUUUUAAACAUUUGUAAUAAUAAAUUUUGAAUUUCGUAAGUGAACUCGUAAUGAAUAUUCAUGUUGGACUCCUCCAGGCUGUAUUAAUAUUGCAUAACUCAUUUGUUUCUAUUACAUAGUUAAAAGAUUGUUUGGCAUGACUUAAAACAACUAUUAUAGGGGUGAUUGAUAUUGGAGGUACAUUUGGUGUCCAAAGACAUUAUUUUAUCAGCUAUUUUCAAAUUGUUUUAUUUUACAUUAUUUUAAUAAUUUGGUAAUCAUGAAUCACAUGACGAUGUUAUAAGCCAUAAUAAUAUAUUAACCUGUUGCUUGAAUUAGUCAGUGUCAAUUCUGUUACCAUCAAACUGUUACAAUAAAGUAAAAGACGAAGAGUGGUCGGUUUAUGAUUGACAAUAUAAAUUAAACACAAAUCUUUUAAUAAAAACAAAGCAAUUUUUUUUAUUCUAAAAAAGAGUGUUUUUCCUGUGUCCUCUUAAAUAGGAAAAUCAUAACACACUAGCUGUACCUGCUUCAAAUAAAUACAGUUAAUUAAAAAAACAAAAUGCAAACUAAGAAAAUGAAUAAACUGAACACAAGUUAUGCAGGUACACACUGCUACUCCAUCCACUUCCGGUCUCAGACAGCACUGUUAUCCUCAGACGGUACAUGACCAGUGACGUCUCGUGACACCUCAUCCGAGGGGCGCUAAUUCAAAAUAUGUGUUCGGAGUUUCAUGUGUGUUGCUUGCGUUUUCAAAAUAUGUGUUUGUUUCGUCAUGUGAACCAUGUGCAUCACGUGUUUUGUCAAAGUAACUGCCUGCUGCACACGCGUCAAAACCGUUUAUGAUAAAAGAGACGCCCACGUUCACAAAAUACACGUAAGACAUUCACUUAACAUUAAACUCUGAUUACGCAUGAGAUUAUGCGAGUAUCUGGCAAACGCGAGCGUCUCCGUACUACGGUGGCCGUCAGGGGUCACUGCCUUGCAAUGAAAGAAAACACAUGCAAAUAGAAAAAACACCAGCAAAUCAAGAAAACAUCUUCAUCAGUUUGACAACACAUGCGCUGCAGAUAUCGCAACACAUCCAAAUACAGAAACGCGUUGCAAAUAUCACAACACGAACAAAACCAGAAACGCGUUCCAAAUCUCACAACACAUCCAAAUACAGAAACGCGUUGCAAAUUCUUACAACACGAACAAAAACAGAAACGCGUUCCAAAUCUCACAACACAACGGAAGUGUUUCAGGGGGGUCACAAAAAGUGAUGCACCGGUCUGAGAAGUGUUUUCGGUUUACAUUCAAUUCGUCCGUGGAGCUUUUGUGAGUUUACAUCGAUCAAAUGAAAGCUAGAGGACCUGUUUUAACAUUGAGGGAAUCCUGACCAGAUGCAUAGUGUGAUAUGGUAGCAUGAUUUAAAUGAACUGCAAGAGCCUGUAGAGAGGGAUAAAGUCUACUGAGAGGAACACAGUACAGAAAGGAGCCGGUUCCAUUGUUAAAAUGCCCACUUAUACCAAACUGUUUCCACCUACAUCCUCUGGCAAUACAUACAGAAGUGUAAGCUACAGGACGUAAAGAUUGAGGAACCGUUUUAUCCAGCAGCCCUCAGUGUUCAAUAUGUCAAAAACAUUAAUUGACCCCAAUAUCACUGUCAUUAUUUUAAUCUCUACACAAACAUUAGUUUAGUACUGCAGGUUUUGAUACACAUAGUCAUAGCCUAGUGGUUAGAGGGUUGGACUUGUAACCCGAAAGUUGCCAGUUCCAGUUUCCGUCUCUGCCGGCAGGUUGCGACUGUGAUGUCCUUGAACAAGGCACAUUAAACCCAAUUGCUCCCCGGGCACUGAAGGAAUAGCUGCCCACUGCUCCGUGUGUGUUCAUCAUUUACUGGGAUGGGUUAAAUGCAGAGGUCACAUUUUUGAGUAUGCGCUGCAUACUUGGCAAGCAUGUCACACUUACACUGCACAGACAACAUUAUAUUGUAUAACAGGUUUCUUUCUAGUUUAUUAUUUUAAUGACAACCACAGUUUAAUGUAAUGUGGCAAUAAAAAGGAAGAAUGUCAUUGUACAGGUAUCUAUACAUAUGAAAAUAAAGGCUUUAAACUUCAAA